UAAAGUUUUCUCACUUUUAUUUCAGAAAAUUCUAAGAUAAUAAGAAUAUCAAGAAGAAACUGCAAUACUUGGAACUUCAAAUAAACUUGAUUUCUAAUAUCAUCUUUCAGAAAUUGAAAUAGUGAGAAUACUUAAUCAUCCAGAAGAGAAAAAGCAAUGAAGAAAUUGACAACCUUGAAAGUUUUAAAUGACCUCUUAUGCCAAGGGGGAACAAAUAGAACAGGAAGUGUGGGUGCAACUCAGUGGUAGAGUGCUUGCUUAGAAUGUACAGGUUCCAUCCCCCAGUACUGCCAAAAUAAUAAUGAUAAUAAUAACAGUAAUAAUCGAUCUUUUUAUGUAUGAUGUGUGUAACUACUACAAUUUACUAUCUAAAAAUCAGUAAAGGCAGGGACAUUUUAAAAAAUUAAGAACUGUAUUCUAUCAACAUAGAAAACAAGGCUAUCCCAUAAUCUCAAUAAAUAGCUAAAGCUCAGAAAUGUAUUACUGUCACAGACAAGUUCUGUCCAAUUGGCAUAUGGUCUUCUCCAUCUUGCUGCAAUACCUAAAGAAAUAGAAAGCACAAAUUUGAGCAAGGCUGGCAGUGCCAAACAUCUUCUUGUGUUUUAAUAAAUAACAUUGCAAACUCUAAACUUAUUCCUAGGUGCCAUUUAAGCUGAUUAUUAAACACCUUGUUAUGUAAAUAUUCUUGACAACCAUUUCAUUUGAAGGAUUUGUUUAACCUGUGGAUUAUUUGGGAGUAUGUUUGCUUUUUCAUACAAGCUAAUAUAUUUUUGUUUUGCUGAUGUUAGCUUUAUUUCCAUUUAUUUUUAUUGUUGAUUUCUAAUUUGAUUGCAUUGUUAAGAGAAUGUUAUCUGUGUGAUAAAAGUUUAGAACUGUUGUGAAUCCUUAUGUUCAGUAUGAUUUUGGAAAAAUUGUAUAGUUUCUG
rnacentral:lncRNA from 1 species